UACGUAGGGGGGCAAGCGUUGUCCGGAUUUAUUGGGCGUAAAGCGCUCGCAGGUGGUUCGUCGCGUCGUGCGUGAAAGACCCCGGCUCAACUGGGGAGGGUCGUGCGAUACGGGCGGACUGGAGGCCAGUAGGGGGAUGCGGAAUUCCGGGUGUAGUGGUGGAAUGCGUAGAGAUCCGGAGGAACACCAGCGGCGAAGGCGGCAUCCUGGACUGGUCCUGACACUCAGGAGCGAAAGCGUGGGGAGCGAUCCGG
rnacentral:rRNA from 1 species